UACAGAGGUCUCAAGCGUUGUUCGGAUUCAUUGGGCGUAAAGGGUGCGUAGGCGGCGCGGUAAGUCGGGGGUGAAAUCUCGGAGCUUAACUCCGAAACUGCAUUCGAUACUGGCGUGCUUGAGGACUGGAGAGGAGACUGGAAUUCAUGGUGUAGCAGUGAAAUGCGUAGAGAUCAUGAGGAAGACCAGUGGCGAAGGCGGGUCUCUGGACAGUACCUGACACUGAGACACGAAGGCUAGGGGAGCAAACGGG
rnacentral:rRNA from 1 species